rnacentral:rRNA from 1 species
UUGGGGACUCUAGCGAGACUGCCAGUGAUAAACUGGAGGAAGUGGGGAUGACGUCAAAUCAUCAUGCCCCUUAUGACCUGGGCUACAAACGUGAUACAAUGGCUGGAACAAAGGGAUGCGAAGCAGUGAUGUGGAAGCGAAAACCCAUAAAAAACAGUCUCAGUUCGGAUUGAAGUCUGCAACUCGACUUCAUGAAGUCGGAAUCGCUAGUAAUCGCGGAUCAGAACGCCGCGGUGAAUACGUUCUCGGGUUU